UGUAAGACGGGCAAUAGGCGUCUAUGCUACCAUGAUGAAGACCGACGCCUCUCACAAGGAGUUCUUUUUCUACCGUGGCUUGAUGACGAAGUUGUUCGAGUCGUAACUGAUUCUGUCUCUUCCACUUCGUUCUGGAACAAAUAAGCAAGUUGAGCAUGUGUGAAAGCCGUUCGUCUUCUUCGUGGCUUUCUUCCACUAGGUGGACCACUAGGAGUUCCACAAGAUUUACCGGACGUUGCCGGACCUGGUGGAGGCGAGAGAACAGGUGGUGGACUUCCUAGUCGCGUACAAGGACUACUGCCAGGAUCGAUUGUAUCUUCGGAAUCCGAAUGAACGGCCGAAUCAUCUUCGGAAUCUUCUAUUUGACUCAACGGUGAAAGCCUAUUAUCGACACAAUGCCAAACGAACGGAAAUCGAUUUACUAUCGUCCCUAGUUCAUGGUAAACGAUCUCAAUCAAGAUCCUGUGGUGUCGUGCAACGAUUGACCAAUAAAACUGGGAAGCGCUGCGGGACAGAGUAAGCGACGGCAAAAAUUUGUGGACUAACGAAUCCUAACGAGUCACUUCGCACCUAAAACCAUCUGUAGGAUCACCCCUAACAGGGCGACACCCUGUAGGGUGGAUCGUCGUUCCUCGGACCCCGAAUAGUGGAUAAAAAUAAUAGAAGAGUCCUUAGGGGGUAUCUUUUAACGAGAAUCCCGACGGUAGUGCACGCGACCGACUCGUGUUUCGUAUAUAAAACACUAAUAAUCUAUCAAAAUUCAUUUUUUUAUUGAUUGUUAAAUCUUUAGAAAGUCUCCGAUCGUUCGAGAAGUCGAUAUCACCUACCUUGAACUCUGUCUGCCAGAACGUCGCCCAAAAGAUCUCUUAUCAAAAAGGACUUGUGUUCUUGCAUCAUCGUCACUGAAGAAUCGACGCAAACCAGUUUUGAAAACUAAACAAGAUCACUCGAGUAAUCAAUGUAUAUCUCGGUUGAAUCAGGUCAUCUAAUGGCACCUAAUACAGUAUCGCACCCUUAAAUUGGAUAUUUUGCGAGGGGAAGAUUCGUGUAUGUGAAACUCGUUUUAUUAUCGCAUCUGUCGUGAUCCGAACGAAGCUAAAUUGAUGGAAGUAAGAAAAGAGGAGAAUCACCAUCGUACAAAAAAGAAAUGAUGCAGAAUUUUUAGUUUAUUUUGGCAAAAAAUGUGGAACGCUUCACGAUUUUGCGUGUCAUCCUUGCGCAGGGGCCAUGCUAAUCUUCUCUGUAUCGUUCCAAUUUUAGUAUAUGUACUGCCGAAGCAAGUACAACAGGAUCGCUCAAGAAGAGUAAUAUAUAGAAAUCUACUCGAUAUAUAGUGUUUGCGAGAAAACUUAUAUACUUAUAAUGUAUACUAUUCUUAAGCGCCAUCUAGUGAAAGAUUUGCCUAAUACUUACAAGUUUAGCUAGAAAAUUCUUAUAAGUAUAGAUUGCAGAUGCAUUUUUAUUAAUAAUCUUUGAUAAGAAAUAAUACACUUAAGAUAGUAAAAACAUAAAUAGUAUUAAAUUUUAUCAUUUUCGAAUUAAUGAAAGACAUUCUAUUUGUUUUAUCAUUUUGUUAGAUCAGUUAUAGCAGAUAUUAUGUAAUAAUUUAUUUUAUAGAUAUUUAUCUAUAUUAAUUUUGUAUAGUAUUGUAAUAUUUUAGUUGUAAAAUGAAAAUCUUUUUUAUGUCAUAAAAGAUGAUAACACUCAAAUGGAAAGAUUCGUAAAAAUCGAUGACUCGAUAAUAACAGCGCCGGUUGUGGCGAUCGUUGCCACGAAUUGGUAAAUACAGAUAAAAAACAGUGAAGAGGAUCACGGUAGAAUGAUUUAGAACAGUGAUGGGCAGAGAGCAUGGAUCAAAUCGCGAGGCAAAGAACUUCGAAGCCGUUAACAAUCACGGCAAAUAUGAAAUCCAUUGACGUUCGACCGUGCGUAUGAAUAUAACUGCGAAUACGAAUAUUUUGUGGAUGGUUGUAAUGUAGAAUGUUGUGUAGUAGUAAUGAACAGGACCCUCCGAGCUCUAAAUAUGCAUGUGCACGUUCUUCAACUUGUUUUUUCCUUCGUGAUUCAAGAGAUAAUUUCAUUGAUGCGAUAUUAUUCUACACUAUGACCAUUGCGGAAGACAUGAUUUUAAUACAGUUUUUAUUUUAACAAACCAACAUGAUAUUAUUCGAGCCAUACGAUGUUUCUUGAAAAAUGACGAAGGGAAGCGGAGACACUCUCGAAGGAUGGUGGUUAUGGGAAAAAGAGUGCUUGAACACGGACGUUGGUCAGACUCCCGCGGUUCCAAUUACGAGUGAAAGGCGGCCCUGUUCGUUCGUCUCCUAUAACUGCCGACUCUUCAGGACUUCGUACGAGGCCCUCUUACCCCCAUGACCACUUUCGAGUUUCGACACGCGUGUUUCCAUGGCAAAUGCUACCAUUUCGUUGGAUUUGAUCAUCGCACUUGCUCGCUUAUCGCUCUACGAAACUGUUGCGACUUGAUGAAUAAAUAUAAUAGAUAAAAUGUACGUGUUAUCGCUGGAAUCUCUACGAGGGAAACGAUUAUCCGAUGUAAUCAUAUCCCUGCUUUGGAUCUAAGAGUUGGGUAAUCAAGGGACGAUUGCUAUCACAAAGCUGCUUGAUUGGCUCGUUUAUGUUACGGUUGAUCAAAGAUCUCAGUUCAGGAGGAUAAUCGUCCCAGGAAAGCAAAGACGAGGGAUGUGUCGUAGCGCAGUGUCGCCAAAGUCGAGAGGAUUACUUGUUUACAAACGACAGUUGAUUUGACAAAGCCGCGAGUCCAUUUAUACGAGUGAAUAUUACAAGGCGUAGUUGAGGGGUGGCUUGUUAUCCGCUCAUUGAAGUUAACCACGGGGCUAAGUGCGCGGAGGAGGGAGGGGUGAUGCUCGUGGUAAGGAGAAUACGAAGAGUAAAGGCUAGUUAUCCAAUGUUGUGUAACGCACACAUAUAUACAGUGAAUGCUGGAUAUCGUUGAAUCGAGCGCUGAUAUUGACUACUGCGAGUUACUCUAUUACUAAUACUACUAUCGCUACUACACUCCUCCAUCCACGAGUACUAUUCUUUUGCAUCCGGUUUGCUUGUUGUUUCAUUUUCGCGACCCCUAGUUUACUCUGCAGUGUCGGCAUAACAAUGAAAGCGAAAAAAAUCGGAAAUAAAGUGAGAGAAACGAGGUGGAAGGGAAAGAAAGAGAUAGCCAUUGUUUCCGGUAACUCUUUCGCGGUAACGAGGAGGAACCUCAAUUAGAACGGUUUGAGGACUUAAACGCCCAGAGGCUGCCGGGUUUUAAGAGGCAAGGAUGCAGUAACGUCGACAUGGAAGCAUUGUUUCUCCGAGCAAUAAUGCAAACGAUACCCUAAGCGCGUGAAAGAUGUUGUGAUUCUCUCUUAACACUCGCUGUUGCAAACUAUGACGUAUCAUGAAAUACAUUCCAUCCAAAACGUACGAACUUUAUGCCUGGAUACAUCAAUUCUUACUGUAUUCAUUUACAAGCUCGAUAAAUAACGAAAACAGGAUCUCAUCCAUCUCAUGCUUGGUGCCCUGAUUGAAAAGAAAGUCUGUAUUUUGAAGCUCGAUAUGGUGUGGCCAGCAGUAACCAUAAAUCAUCUGGAAAUCCUGUUACCCUGUCGUCGCGAAAACGCCAGGGGUGUUUUCAGAGUACAAAGGAUACAAAACCGAGGAGAGUUCCUCCAGGUUACGUUUCUGAGUUAUAGCUCCCUGGUGUUACAAAUGCUUCUGGCGCCACUCUCUUGACGAAUGACAGGACAUUGACGAGCACGAAGGGAAGGAUACGAAGGAAAUCGAGAUAAUCACGUGGAAAGAUGUUAUACGUCACGAGAGCAAGUUUUUCCCUACAUGAGGUCCUGAUCUAUAGAAUAUUUUCCAUACGACGAGAGUGUUUUUAGUUCUCUACCACGUUAAAAAAUAUUCUUCUUUAUGGUAUCCUGAUACACCGAAUAUUUCUUGGAUAUAAAUUUGUUCUAGAACGUCAAUAAAAUGUAAGAUUAUAAGAAAUUGAAUGUUUAGCAACAC